rnacentral:rRNA from 1 species
AGCGAACGCUGGCGGCAGGCCUAACACAUGCAAGUCGAACGAAGUCUUCGGACUUAGUGGCGGACGGGUGAGUAACACGUGGGAACGUGCCUUUAGGUUCGGAAUAACUCAGGGAAACUUGUGCUAAUACCGAAUGUGCCCUUCGGGGGAAAGAUUUAUCGCCUUUAGAGCGGCCCGCGUCUGAUUAGCUAGUUGGUGAGGUAAAGGCUCACCAAGGCUACGAUCAGUAGCUGGUCUGAGAGGAUGACCAGCCACAUUGGGACUGAGACACGGCCCAAACUCCUACGGGGGGCAGCAGUGGGGAAUCUUGCGCAAUGGGCGAAAGCCUGACGCAGCCAUGCCGCGUGGAUGAUGAAGGUCUUAGGAUUGUAAAAUCCUUUCACCGGUGAAGAUAAUGACUGUAGCAGGAGAAGAAGCCCCGGCUAACUUCGUGCCAGCAGCCGCCGUAAGAC